rnacentral:rRNA from 1 species
UACGUAGGGGGCUAGCGUUGUCCGGAUUUAUUGGGCGUAAAGAGCGUGUAGGCGGCCAGGUAGGUCUGGUGUGAAAAUCCGGGGCUCAACCCCGGACUUGCAGUGGGUACGGGCAGACUAGAGUGUAGUAGGGGAGACUGGAAUUCCUGGUGUAGCGGUGAAAUGCGCAGAUAUCAGGAGGAACACCGAUGGCGAAGGCAGGUCUCUGGGCCACUACUGACGCUGAGAAGCGAAAGCAUGGGGAGCGAACAGG